UUCUGAUAAUGGGGGUGAAUCGGGGUUAGAGAGUUAUUUUUCCAUUCAUGGAAUUAUACAUCAGACAUCUUGCACCCCUCAACAAAAUAGGGUUGCAGAACGCAAGAAUCGUCAUCUUCUUGAUUUGGCUCGCUGCAUGUGUUUUUCUAUGAGUGUGCCUCGAUCCUACUGGGCCGAGGCAGUUCUCACUACAGCCUAUCUCAUCAAUUGUUUUCCUACCUAGGUUUUACAAAAACAAGCUUCACUUCAAGUCUUUCUUGGUUCAAAGUCUUUGUUUUUUAUUCCCUCUAAAAUAUUUGGUUGUGUCUGUUUUGUCCACAUUCAUUCUCCAACUCAUGGUAAGUUGGACCCUUGCUCUCUCAAGUGUGUUUUCCUCGGGAUACUCACCUACUCAAGAGGGGUAUAAGUGUUAUCACCCUUCUUCUCGUAAGUGGUUUGUGUCUAUGGAUGUCACCUUCUUUGAGUCCCAGUCCUACUUCUUGUCUUCUCUGGUGUCACAGCCAUCUCUUUAGGGGGAGCCUUGGUGUGAAGAGAUUCCUAUUGUCCCUAUUGCUCCUAUGGUAGAACUAGUUGUUCCCGCACCACCUAUUACUGGGACUAUAGAAUGGAAUGCCACCAAGGAUAAGGAAUGUCAAGUUUAUGUUAAGGACAAAGACAGACAGAAAGUUACUUGGAUACAAGAGACCACUUUUGCUCAUCCACUGCCAUCUCCUGCUUUCGAUAAGAGUACAGGUAACUUUGAACCUCUUGUUUCUCUUGAGUCUACUGAUGUUGCUAUUCCUGACACUAUUGAUUUUGAUAUUCCUAUUGCCAAGAGAAAGGGUGUGAGAUCUUGUACUCAACGUCCUAUCUCAAACUUUGUGUCCUACUCUCAUUUAUCUCCCUAUUAUAGAGCCUUUGUGUCAAACAUUUCCUCUCCUAACCAUUUUCAGGAUGUUCUCGCUACCUCUAAAUAGAAACUUGCCAUGAUUGAGGAAAUGAAAGCACUUCGUAAGAAUGACACUUGGAAAUUAACUGAGUUAGUUAAGGACAAACGACCGAUGAGAUGCAAAUGGAUGUAUACUGUGAAGCACAAAGUAGAUGGUUCCAUUGAGCGUUAUAAAGCUCGACUUGUGGCAAAAGGCUUUACUUAGACUUAUGAAGUAGACUAUUAGGAGACUUUUGCACCAUUGACUAAGAUGAAUUCAGUCAGAAUACUUCUCUCUCUAGUAUCUAAUUUAGAUUAGCUACUUCAUCAGUUUGAUGUAAAAAAUGCUUUCUUACAUAGUGGUCUAGAAUAAGAGGUAUAUAUGAACAUUCCUCCUGAUUUGGAGAAUCAUUAGACAUAAGGUAAAGUAUGCAGGCUUUGGAAGUCAUUAUAUGGUCUCAAACAGUCUCCAAGGGCUUGGUUUGACAGAUUCACUCAGGCUAUGCUUAAAUAUGGUUUCAAAUAGAGUCAGGCUAAUCACACUUUCUUUAUAAAACAUUCCUCAUGUGGUAAGACUACAGUUUUCAUUGUUUAUGUGGAUGACAUAGUGCUUACAGGUGAUGAUAGUGUGGAAAUAUCUGUUGAAGAAAUAUUUAGCUAGUGAGUUUGAAAUCAAAGACUUGGGGAACUUGAAAUGUCUUUUGGGAAUCAAAGUUGCUCGCUCCAAGGAUGGGAUUUUCAUCUCACAAAGGAAAUAUGUUCUUGACCUUUUGAAGGAAAUAUGGAUGCUUAGAUGUGAGGCCUGUGAUACCCCACUGGAACCUAAUUAGAAACUUGGUGAUGAUGAAGGAGGAGCAGUUGUUGAUAGGGAGAGUUAUCAGCGACUAGUGGUCCAGGCUUCAAGCAAAGCAGGAAAUUGGUGGAAACAUGCUAAGAUAUUCAGGUACUUUUGAUGCAAUUAUGAAGAUGAUCCGUUUUGAAGGGUUGUCCAGCUUUUACAAGGGGAUGAGCACAAAGAUAGUACAGAGUGUUUUUGCAGCCUCAGUACUUUUUAUGGUUAAGGAAGAGCUUGUUAAGGCUUUUGCGGUGCUCGCAGAUAAAUGCCAGAAAUUUCGAUUGAAUAUUGUGAAAUGAUUCCUUUGGCUUGUAUAAAAACUAAAUGCACUGUUCUUCUGGUCUCUUCUUCAUUCGCAAUAAAUGAAUGUUGUUUUACGUCA